ensembl:lncRNA
CCGUAAUCUUUUGUUUUGUUUAUGUGUUGCAUAAACUCAGUUUAAGUAUGUGUACAAUUAUUAUAUCAUAAAAAGGCAACCACGUGACUCAUUUCUCUAUUUCCCAAUUGCUGAGUAAAGUAUGACUUGCUAAACACUUUUCAGUUGUGUCACCGUGUCACUUCUGCUGAUUGGCCAGUUGCAUGUCAAUAAUGUAUAUAUAAAGCAUAUAUCACUGCUGUUUUGAUGUCACACAGACAAGUCUUUCAUACUUUUGGCAUAAAGGUAAGAAGCAAAGGUAGACAAAAUUAAUAGCAUUUACAUCUAUAUUUUGUCAUUUAGCAGACAUUUUUCUUCAAUGCGAUUUACACACUUUCUCUAUUAGAUCAGAACCGCUCUUCUCGAGAACCAUGAAAUCUUUUCUCAUUGUUGCCUGUGUCUUUGGACUCUGCUGUGCUGUGCUAGCAGAGGAUGAAGAACUUCGAGAGAAGCGCUCAUCAAGCCGUUCCUCAGAGAGACAGCCUGGAGGCUUCUACAACCCAUACCAAUUUCAGCGUCCCUAUCCCUACCCGUACUUUCCCCCUUACCAGCCCCAGCCUCUGCCACAGCCUUUGCCUCAGCCUCUGCCACCAAACAACAAUGCUCUCCUCAGCCUCUUGCCAUUCAUCUUAGCACAGCUGGCAUCCAACACCCCUGCUCCAGCACCGGCCCCCGCACCUGCACCCGCACCCGCACCCGCCCCGGCCCCGGCCCCUGCACCAGCCCCUGCACCAGCCCCUGCUCCUGCUCCUGCCCCUGGUGGGAGAUAAGACAUCCGUUAAAACUGAGCAUGUGUCUGAUUGACUUGAUACUCUUGUUCUUGGUAUAUUAAAACAAAUAAACUUUGCAUUAUUGAAUCA